CGCCUUCAGAUUCAAUAUUGGAGGUCUGGUCUGCCCAGUGUAAUUAAUUAACGGCCGCGGUAUUCUGACUGUGCAAAGGUAGCAUAAUCACUUGCCCUUUAAAUGGGGGAAUGUAUGAAUGAUUAGACGAGGUUUUUACUGUCUCUUCCUUAUAAAUUGAGAUUACAAUACUUGUGAAAAUGCGGGUAAGGUAAUAAAGGACGAGAAGACCCUGUUGAGCUUUUAAGCUAAACUAUAGUACAGGUUAAGUUAAGUAAUAAUUUACAAUUAAAACGAGUAAUUUUUUGUAGGCUUUUUGGCUGGGGUGGCAAGCAAAGAUAUUAAGCUUUGUUGUAGUACACAUUUUGUAUUUCUAGAUAAUAUGUAUCUAUAAAUAAUUAAAUUGAUCCGUUAAAAUAGAACGAUUAAAAGAAUAAGUUACCACAGGGAUAACAGCGUAAUUCUUUUUGAGAGCUCGAAUUGACAAAGGAGUUUGCGACCUCGAUGUUGGAUCAAGAUUCCUAGCGGUGUAGCAGCUGUUACGGGUUUGCCUGUUCGGCGAUUAAUAUCU
rnacentral:rRNA from 1 species